rnacentral:rRNA from 1 species
AUUGAACGCUGGCGGCAGGCCUAACACAUGCAAGUCGAGCGGAUGAAGGGAGCUUGCUCCUGGAUUCAGCGGCGGACGGGUGAGUAAUGCCUAGGAAUCUGCCUGGUAGUGGGGGAUAACGUCCGGAAACGGGCGCUAAUACCGCAUACGUCCUGAGGGAGAAAGUGGGGGAUCUUCGGACCUCACGCUAUCAGAUGAGCCUAGGUCGGAUUAGCUAGUUGGUGGGGUAAGGCCUACCAAGGCGACGAUCCGUAACUGGUCUGAGAGGAUGAUCAGUCACACUGGGACUGAGACACGGUCCAGACUCCUACGGGAGGCAGCAGUGGGGAAUAUUGGACAAUGGGCGAAAGCCUGAUCCAGCCAUGCCGCGUGUGUGAAGAAGGUCUUCGGAUUGUAAAGCACUUUAAGUUGGGAGGAAGGGCAGUAAGUUAAUACCUUGCUGUUUUGACGUUACCAACAGAAUAAGCACCGGCUAACUUCGUG